rnacentral:rRNA from 1 species
GUGAACCUGCGGAAGGAUCAUUGUCGAAACCUGCUCUGCAGUACAACCCGCGAACAAGUUUAUCCACAGCUGAAGGAGCCUUGUGCUCCUGACGCAUGGCCAUGCGUGGUGCUAAGUACCUCGCGGACGCCACAUAAACAAACCCCGGCGCGGAAAGCGCCAAGGAAAAUGAACAUGCAAGCGAGAUCCCCACGAUCACCCCGGAAACGGUGCGUGCUUCGUAGGUGUUUCUCCCUCUAUAACCAAAACGACUCUCGGCAACGGAUAUCUCGGCUCUCGCAUCGAUGAAGAACGUAGCAAAAUGCGAUACUUGGUGUGAAUUGCAGAAUCCCGUGAACCAUCGAGUUUUUGAACGCAAGUUGCGCCCAAACCCUUCGGGUCGAGGGCACGUCUGCCUGGGUGUCACGCAACGUCGCUCACUCACUUCCCUUACUCAGGCCUCGUGAGUUCGAGCGGAAAAUGGCCUCCCGUGAACCUCGUGAUUGCGGUUGGCCCAAAUAGGAGACCAAUUCGGCCAGUGCCGUGGCAUUCGGUGGUUGAAAGAACCCUCACAACGCCUCGUCCACUCGGUCGAACAAAAAAGGGUCUCAAUAACCCUCUUUGUAUCUGACGCGACCCCAGGUCAGGCGGGAUUCCCG